UACAGAGGUCUCAAGCGUUGUUCGGAUUCAUUGGGCGUAAAGGGCGCGUAGGCUGCGGGGCAGUCGGGGUGUGAAAUCUCAGGGCUCACCCUGAAACUGCCAACUCGAUACUGCUCUGCUUGAGGACUGGAGAGGAGACUGGAAUUCACGGUGUAGCAGUGAAAUGCGUAGAUAUCGUGAGGAAGACCAGUGGCGAAGGGCGGGGUCUCCUGGACAGUUCCUGAAGCGCUG
rnacentral:rRNA from 1 species